UACGUAGGGUGCGAGCGUUGUCCGGAUUUAUUGGGCGUAAAGGGCUCGUAGGCGGCGUGUCGCGUCGGGAGUGAAAGCCCGUUGCUUAACGGCGGGUUGGCUUUCGGUACGGGCAUGCUGGAGUGCGGCAGGGAGACUGGAAGUUCCUGGUGUAGCGGUGGAAUGCGCAGAUAUCAGGAGGAACACCGGUGGCGAAGGCGGGUCUCUGGGCCGGUUACUGACGCUGGAGGCGCGACAGCGUGGGAGCGAAC
rnacentral:rRNA from 1 species